rnacentral:rRNA from 1 species
GAUGAACGCUGGCGGCGUGCCUAAUACAUGCAAGUCGAGCGAACAGACGAGGAGCUUGCUCCUCUGACGUUAGCGGCGGACGGGUGAGUAACACGUGGAUAACCUACCUAUAAGACUGGGAUAACUUCGGGAAACCGGAGCUAAUACCGGAUAAUAUAUUGAACCGCAUGGUUCAAUAGUGAAAGACGGUUUUGCUGUCACUUAUAGAUGGAUCCGCGCCGCAUUAGCUAGUUGGUAAGGUAACGGCUUACCAAGGCGACGAUGCGUAGCCGACCUGAGAGGGUGAUCGGCCACACUGGAACUGAGACCCGGUCCAGACUCCUACGGGAGGCAGCAGUAGGGAAUCUUCCGCAAUGGGCGAAAGCCUGACGGAGCAACGCCGCGUGAGUGAUGAAGGUCUUCGGAUCGUAAAACUCUGUUAUUAGGGAAGAACAAAUGAGUAAGUAACUAUGCACGUCUUGACGGUACCUAAUCAGAAAGCCACGGCUAACUACGUG